AUAUAUAUCAACCUCUUCAGCUUUUUGCAUGUUGAGUUGUUGGAUGUGGGGGUUAUUUUUUGCUGGACUUCUUGAGAAAUCUGAGUUCAGCUCCCCUAAAAUACAUUAGCGAAACAAUUAGUUUACCGCUCAUUGGUGUGAUAACUAUCUACGCUAUUGACGGUAAAGCAUGUUUAGCUUCUAACAGUCCAUUAACUUGGACAAAGCUUUAUUA
rnacentral:misc_RNA from 1 species